AACGCUGGCGGCGUGCUUCAUACAUGCAAGUCGAACGAGAAUCUGGCUUCGGUCAGAGGAAAGUGGCGGACGGGUGAGUAAAAUGUAGAGAAUCUGCCCUAGAGAGUGGGACAACAGAGGGAAACUUCUGCUAAUACCGCAUAUGCGCGUAGUUGAGAUACUAUUCGUGAAAACUCCGGUGCUCUGGGAUGAGUCUGCAUCUGAUUAGCUAGUAGGCGGUGUAAUGGACCACCUAGGCGACGAUCAGUAGCUGGUUUGAGAGGAUGAUCAGCCACAAUGGGACUGAGACACGGCCCAUACUCCUACGGGAGGCAGCAGUAGGGAAUUUUGCGCAAUGGGGGAAACCCUGACGCAAGCAACGCCGCGUGAUUGAAGAAGCCCUUCGGGGUGUAAAGAUCUGUCAGUGGGGACGAAACUUGACGGUACCCACAGAGGAAGCAUCGGCUAACUCCGUGCCAGCCGCUGC
rnacentral:rRNA from 1 species